rnacentral:lncRNA from 1 species
GCUGCUUCCUUGACACAGAGGACGAAGAUGUACUAAUUGACGGAGACCAACCAUUCCGCGACGGCGGCAGCGGCGGCGGGGGAGGGGGAGGAGGAGGAGGAGCAGGAGCAGGCUUAAUGAGAUGAGUCAAAUUCGGUGCUGGGGGAGGGGGAGGAGGAGGAGGAGCAGGAGCAGGCUUAAUGAGAUGAGUCAAAUUCGGUGCUGGGGGAGGCGAUGAGAAUUUUGGUCUUCUAGAAGGACCCAAAGUAGUUGAUUUUUCUAUUUGCUGAUAUUUGGUUGAAGC